GAUUCAUUCAUCAGAUAUUAAUUCAGAAUCCCUUUUGUGCCUUCCAGAAAUCUGGACCAUCUCACAACCCCCAGAGAGUCUCAGCUACAAGGAACAAGUGAUAAUGCCAUCCCACUUUUAUAAACACACACACACACACAUGCAAUACACACACAAUCAUUUAAUCAUUUUUAAUUAUUUAAUUAUUUUUUAAAAAUCAGUGACACUUUAGCUGGGCAGGUCUAGAUAGGUCUUCUUUGCUGGGACGUGUCUUUUUCUGUCCUGGAAUACCCUAAACUUCACAUUUUGGCAGCGUGAGUUUUCCCUUUGUGACUUUCUCCUUCUUCCCUUUUUUCCUCCUUCUUUGCAGAGAAUGAGUAGCCACUGCACCUUGCCCUGCGCCAUCAAUGAGAAGAUCUGCUCUUAGUAGAGCCCUGCUUUCCCGCUGAAGGCCCUGAAAUCACCUGUGUUCCAGGCCACCCACUAAGGAUAAACAAAGCUUCCCUGAUAUGGGGAAUUAGCUCAAGUGGUAGAGCGCUUGCUUAGCAUGCAAGAGGUAGUGGGAUCAAUGCCCACAUUCUCCAAGCUUUAUUAUUUAGGUACCCAAACCCGAGUCAGUGUCUGAGAGCAAGACACUGCUCUCGGUGUCUUUGGUUCAAGACAUAGGAGCAGCAACAAUACAGGACUGGUGACAGCUUCCUGCUGGCAUUCAGUAUAGUGUAGAUCUACUGUGUAAUUAAUUUUCUGUUUCUUCGAGGAGCUGUGAAACCAAAGGACAUAUAAAACUGCUCUUUUCUCCCUGUUUCUGCCUGCAGCUUGGUCCUAAAUGUGAGACAAUUGUGAAAAGUGGAGGACAGAGCCACCUGGUUAAAUACAGCCCCAGCUUUCUGGUGAGAGGACUGAAACCAAGAUGUGUCAAGUAACUAGAAUGUGCCUGGACAGAUACUGUAGAAAGCAAAACCAUAAAGUUGUUCAUGAGCUUGUGGACGCACCUGCCAGCUGUGAAUAAGUGGCUCUAAUCCCGAACAACUUACCUAAAAAGAGCCUGAGAGCUGAACUGUGCAAUGGCCCACUUUCCAGUCCUCACUGACCACUGGGUUGCACACACUUUGGAGAUCUCUGAACAGCAGUGUCAAGGCUUUCAAAUAGAGUUAUCUUUGAAACGACAACACAUGAAAGUCUGGUUGGUACUUGGAGCUUAAAUACAAGGCAAUUGUGUGCCUGCAAAAACAAAAAUAGCAAUAUUAUCCUUAAGAUUUCAACAAGACACAGUGUCUCAUCACAUAAUCCAAAGAAGUCCAGGUUACAAGCCCCACAAUAUUCAGCAUUAUGAAAAAACAGGGAGAUCUUAAUUCACAUGGCAAAGAGAAUCCUCGAAUAACAAUAUUGAGAGGACACAGAUGUCAAAAUCAUCUGACACAUACAUUAAAGCAGAUAUUAUAACAAUGCUCCUAGAAUCGGGGAUAACAUUCGUGAAGUGAAUGGAAAGUUGGAAAGUCUCACCAAAUAUUUCGAAUACAUAAACACCAAUUUAAACUUAAGAAUUAAAAAAAUGUAUUAACCAAAACUCUUAGGGGAAAUAAAAAGCUUAAUUGGAGGAUCUCCAUAAUCGAAUGCAGAAGACUAAGGAAAAAGUCAAUGAACUUGAAAACAGAACACGAAUACCUACAUAAUCUGAACUAUAGAGAGAAAGGAGGAUUUUAUUGUCUCUGAACAGAGGCUCAGGCACAAAUAAAAAAUAACAAAUCCAACAUUCACAUUAUUGUAAUCUGGAAAGAAGAGGACAAAGUGGUCUUUGUGGGAUAAAACUUUGAACAAUUAAUAGCUGAAAAUGGUUCAAAUUUGUCAAAAGAUAUAAACCAGAUUUUUAAAGUUCAGUAAAUGUCAAUCAGGAUAAACCCAAAGAAACCCAUAGCAAGGCAUAUCAUAAUCAAACUGCUGAAAACUAAGAAAAUACAAAACAAUUUUGAAAGCAGCCAAAGGGAAAUGAAAGAGAAACUACCAAAUGAAUGAUUGUAGAUUUCGCAUCAGGAACCAUAGGGGCCAGAAAAAAUGUCAUAACAUUCGGAGACUACGGAAAAGAAGAGUGACUAAGAUCUCUGAAGAAGGGAAAAGCUAGAUGACUGGGCCACAAGAGGAAAAAAAGCAGCAAGACAGCUUGAAUGUGAGGCAACUGUGAAAAGUGCAGGGCAGAGCCACCUGGGUAAAUACAGCCCUGGCUUUCUGGUGAGAGGACUGAAACCAGGAUGUGUCAAGUAACUAGAAUGUGCCUGGACAGAUACUGUAGAAAGCAAACCCAUAAAGUUGUUCAUGAGCUUGUGGACGCACCUGCCAGCUGUGAAUAAGUGGGUCUAAUCCCAAACAACUUACCUAAAAAGAGCCUGAGGACUGAACUAAACAAUGGUCCACUUUCCAGUCCUCACUGACCACUGGUUGCACACACUCCAGAGAUCUCUCAUCCGCAGUGUCAAGGCUUUCAAAUAGAGUUAUCUGUGAAACAACAACACAUGGAAGUCUGGUUGGUACUUGGAGCUUAAAUACAAGGCAAUUGUGUGCCUGCAAAAACAAAAAGAGCAAUAUUAUCCUUAAGAUUUCAACAAGACACAGUGUCUCAUCACAUAAUCCAAAGAAGUCCAGGUUACAAGCCCCAAAAUAUUCAGCAUUAUGAAAAACCAGGGAGAUCUUAAUUCACAUGGCAAAGAGAAUCCUUGCAUAACAAUAUUGAGAGGACACAUAUGUCAAAAUCAUCUGACACAUACAUUAAAGCAGUUAUUAUAACAAUGCUCCUAGAAUUACGGGAUAGCAUUCAUGAAGUGAAUGGAAAGUUGGAAAGUCUCACCAAAUAUUUGGAAUAUGUAAACACCAAUUUAAACUUAAGAAUUAAAAAAAGUAUUAACCAAAACUAUUAGGGGAAAUAAAAAGCUUAAUUGGAUGAUCUCAAUAGCAGUAUGCAGAAGACUAAGGAAAAAGUCAAUGAACUUGAAAACGGAACAAGAAUACCUACAGAAUCUGACCUAUAGAAAGAAAGGAGGAUUUUAUUGUCCCUGAACAGAGGCUCAGGGACAAAUAAAAAAUAACAAAUCUAACAUUCACAUUAUUGUAAUCUGGAAACAUUCACAUUAUUGUAAGAGGACAAAGAGGUCUUUGUGGGAUAAAACUGUGAAGAAUUAAUGGCUGAAAAUGUAUCAAAUUUCUCAAAAGAUAUAAACCAGAUUUUUAAAGUUCAGUAAAUGUCAAGCAGGAUAAACCAAAAGAAACCCAUUGCAAGACAUAUCAUAAUCAAACUGCGGAAAAUUAAGAAAACACAAAACAAUUUUGAAAGCAGCCAAAGGGAAAUGAAAGAUAAAAUACCAAAUGAAUGAUUGUAGAUUUCUCAUCGGGAACCCAGGAGCCAGAAAAAAAUGUCAUAACAUUCAGUAAAUACCAAAGGAAAAAUACAUUAUCAACCCAGAAUGGUAUGUGGAGCAAAAGUAUCUUCCAGACAUAAAGGCAAAUAAAUGCAUUCUCAUUGGAAGGUAAAUAAAUACAUUCUCAGUCCUAGCAAAACUGCUGGAAAAGAAUUAGCAAAGGUUUGAGAUAAGAAAAGUGAUACCAGAAGGAAACUUAGAACAUCAUCAAUGAAGGAACAAAAGCAGAAAUAGAAAAUGUCUGGGUAGACAUAACAGACUAUUAUUCUUCUCUUGAGUUCCUUAAGGUAUGUUUGAUGGUUGAAAGCAAAAAUUGUAACUUUAUCUGAUGCAGUUGUCAUUGUAUCUAGAUGUACUACAUACAUAAGAUAAAAGGGUAAAUGUAAUGGGACUAACUCUUGAUGAAGUUUCUAUAUUCAACUUGAAUGGUAAAAUAUUGAUUCUUAGUAUACUGUGAAAAGUUAUAUAUGUAUAUGGUAAUCCCUAGACCACUUAACAACCAGAUUGAAAUAAACCAAAACAAGAUAGACAGAGGAACAUAGAAGAAUUAAAACAAAGGGAAAAAAGGUUAAUAAAUUAUUAAAUAGUAGAUCUAUCUAAAAACUUAUCUAUAAUAACAUUAUAUGUAAAUUAUCUAAAUGCAUUAAGUAAAAACUAGAGAUCAUCAGAAUGUGUUAAAAAUAAAUAUGCUGACUAAAGAAAGCCACCUGCAAUACACUUAUAAAUAAGAAUAAAAGUUAUAGAGCAGAUUGAAAGAAAAGAGUGGGAAAAGAUACCUCAUGCAAGCAUUAAUCAAAGACAGCUGUGGUGUAUAUAUAUAAAAUCAGACAAAGUAGAUUUGAAAGCAGAGAAACUUUUCAGGAAUAAUGAGGCCUCCUAAAUAAUUAUGAUUGUCAAUUUUUCAGGAGAAUAUUGUCCCAAAUGUAUAUGAGGACACAGAGCUUCAAAACUCAUAAACAAAAUUGGAUACGCCAAGUAAAAAUAGAAAAAUCCAGUUAUAGUUGCAGUCAUUAACACUCCUCUCUGAGUAAUUGGAAGAUUUAGUGGAACACAAAUCAACAGACAUACUGGAGAAUUGAACCAUGCCAUCCAGUAAUGGACCUAUCAAUUUCAUAAUGCAAAAUAAAAAUUCAGGUAGAAAGCAAAGACAAAAAUUAAAAGAAAAGCAAGAUCAUGUUAUAAUGAGAAAAUUAAGAGUAGUCCAGUGUAUAGAAGGGUGCUAUUAUUGAAAGAGUUUGAAAUAGUGACUUAGUUAUUUUGAAACAUUUUUGAAGACGUUAUUUAGCUGGAAAUGACAGAAAGACUGAAAAUGGUGAAUGUGGAGGUGGAUCUUCCCUUGUCCAUAUUUAUCUUGUCUUCGUUUGAGGUCUGGGGUGUCUAUACUUCCUCUGAAUUACCUGAUCUUACUACAGUGUCUGGCACAGAGCAUCUCCCCAGUGAAUAUGUACUAAAUGAGUAGAAAGUAAUUGAUAGAUUCAAAAGAGUUGUGCAAGAAUAAUGUUCAUUAUUUGACUAAUCACUGAAUGUGGUGUUUCAAGGAAGACAAUGAAUCAAAGUUGACUUGAAAGGUAAGCCCAGGGCCAGACGUGGUGGCUCAUUUCUGUAAUCCCAGCACUUUGGGAGGCCGAGAUCAGUGGAUCCCUUGACACCAGGAGUUUGAGACCAGCCUAGGCAACACAGUGAAAACCUGUCUCUACAACAAAUACAAAAAUUAGCCGGGUGUGGUGGUAUGCAUCUGUAGUUCCAGCUACUCAGGAGGCUGAGGUGGGAGGAUCGCUUGAACUCAGGAGGUGGAGGUUGCAGUGAACAGAGAACGCACCGGUACCUGGACAACAAAGUGAGACCCUGUCAUAAAAUAAAAUAGUUAAACCCAGGCCAGGAGGGGUGGCUCAUGCCUGUAAUCCCAGCACUUUGGAAGGCCAAGGUAGGCUGAUCACGUGACGUCAGGAGGUUGAGACCAGCCUGGCCAACAUGGUGAAACCCCGUCUCUACUAAAAAUACAAAAAUUAACCAAGCGUGGUGGCAGGCACCUGUAGUCCCAGCUACUCUGGAGGCUGAGACAGGAGAAUUACUAGAACCCGGGAGGCAGAGGUUGCAGUGAGCCAAGAUCUUACCAUUGCACUGCAGCCUGGGCGACAGAGUGACACUCUGUCGAAAAAAAAAAAAAAAAAAAAGUUAAGCCCAAAAAGUAAGUAAGGAAGAGGUUUGGAAUUAGAUAUUUGUUGUAUGAAUGAGUGAGCUAAAGUGCAAAAGAACGGGCAGAAUAACUGAGCUGGUACAGAGGGAAAAAAUCACAUUUAAAAUCUAAAAAUAUCUGCUUCUUAGUUCAGGCUUUCCCACUUAGCAGCUUUGGCACCUUAGGAACACUUAACUUAUCUGAGCCUCUAUUACUUCUAAAAAGUGCAUAAAGUGCAGACUAAGACAGUUUUUUUGGCAAAAUUCAGUCAGACUACAUCAAGUAAACUCCCUAAGUCUCCUAGUAUAAUUCAUGGCACAAAAAAUUGGGGAAAAAACAGGGAGGAUAUGAUUAUAAGUUCAGUUUAUGUUUUUUGUUGAGUGAAUGUCUCCAGUCAUAGAGAUGCAAGUGUAGAUACACAGUAAGAGUAGUAUGAAUGGGAGACACCUUGGAAGGCUAUUUCUUCCUUCCUUCAUUCAGUUGGUCACUCAGUGAACUAUCAUGAAUUGAGCACCGCCUCUGUUUCUUAUCAACAAAGGAGACUGCGGAAAAGAAGAGUGACUAAGAUCUCUGAAGAAGGGAAAAGCUAGAUGACUGGGCCACAAGAGGAAAAAAAGCAGCAAGACAGUUACAAUUGUUUCUGGUCCCACUUUUAUAAACACACACACACACACACACACACACACACACACACACAAAAUCAUUUAAUCAUUUUUAAGUAUUUAAUCAUUUUUUAAAAAUCUGUGAUGCUUUACCUGGGCAUGUCUAGGCAGGUCCUCCUUUGCUAGGACGUGCCCUUUUCUGUCCCGGAAUACUCUAAACUUGGCAUUUUGGCAGCGUGAAGUUUUCCCGUUGUGACUUUCUCCUUGUUCCCUUUUCUCCUCCUUCUUUGCAGACAAUGAGUAGCCACUGCUGUUUGCCCUGGCCCAUCAAUGAGAAGAUCUGCUCUUAGAGCCCUGCUUUCCUGCUGAAGGCCCUGAAAUCACCUGUGUUCCAGGCCACCUGCUAACAAUAAAUAAUGCUGCCCUGAUGUGGGGAAUUAGCUCAAGUGGUAGAGCGCUUGCUUAGCACGCAAGAGGUAGUGGGAUCGAUGCCCACAUUCUCCAAGCUUUAUUAUUUAGACAUCGUGUCUCCAAACACUCAGGUCUCCAAACCCAAGUUAGUGUCUGAGAACAGGAUGCUGCUUUGGUUCAAGACGUAGGAGCAGCAAUAAUAGAGGGCUGGUGAUGGCUCCCUCUUGGCAUUCAGUAUAGUGUAGAUCUACCAUGUAAUUAAUUCUCUGUUUCUUUGAGGAGCUGUGAAACCAAGGGACAUAUACAACUGCUCUUUUCUCCCUGUUUCUACCUGCAGCUUUGUCCUAAAUGUGAGACAAUUAUGAAAAGUGCAGCGCAGAGCCACUUGGGUAAAUACAGCCCCGGCUUUCUGCUCAGGGGACAGAGUUUGAGGCACUGCAGAGGAACCGGCCAAAGUAUGAGACCCAUAUAUUGAGAGUAACAGAGUGUAAAGUUCAAAAAAAUCAAAAUAUUUAAAGAUUUAUCAUGGGUCUUGAUGACAUGAUGGAAUCUCUCUACUCUCUGGACUUAUUAUGUGUGGUAAUAAAUUUACUUUUUAAAAGCCAGUUGAGUGUUUUUAAUGUUGUGGAGCUAUUGCUAAGAGUUUCCUGAGUUUUUUCCAGUAAUGUAGAGAUCUUUGUGCUAAAUAUUUCAUAAAGAAGUUUGG
rnacentral:tRNA from 1 species